CGGGCGGAGGCAGCGGAGGGGAGUGGCCUGGCCCGCGGACGUUCCCGGAAGGGCGCCGGCGGCGGCUGCGGGGCUGCGGCGCGGGCCAUGGCCAGGGCGCGGGGCUCGGCGAGCUGGCUGGCCGGCUUCCUGCUGCUGCCAGCUCUAGGAAUGCUGCCGCCUCCUGAGAAUGUCAGGAUGAACUCAGUUAAUUUCAAGAACAUCCUACAAUGGGAUCCACCUGCUUUCCCCAAAGAGAACCUGACUUUCACAGCUCAGUAUGAAAGCUACAGGUAUUUCCAAGAUCGCUGCAAGAACACUGUCUCUACACAGUGUGACUUCUCCACUCUCUCUAAGUAUGGUGUGCACACUCUGAGAGUCAGGACUGAGUUCGCGGAUGAGUGUUCGGACUGGGUGAACAUCACCUUCUGCCCUGUAGAUGACACCACUAUUGGACCUCCUGAGAUGCACAUAGAAUUUCUUGCUGAUUCUUUACAUAUGCGCUUCUCAGCCCCGCACAUUGAGAAUGAGCCUGAGACGUGGACCAUGAAGAACAUUUACAUCUCAUGGGCUUAUAGGGUGCAAUAUUGGAAAAAUGGGACUAAUGAGAAGGUUCAAGUCACUUCUCCAUAUGACUUUGAGGUCAUCAGAGGCCUGGAGCCGUGGACAACUUACUGCGUUCAAGUUCAAGGGUUUCUUCAAGGCCAGAACAGAACCGGAGAAUGGAGCAAACCUGUGUGUGAGCGGGCGACCAGUGACGAAAUGACCCCUUCCUGGAUGGUGGCCGCUGUCCUCAUAACCUCUGUCUUUGUGGUCGUCCUCUUUCUCCUUGGCUGCUUUGGCUUGCUGUGGUUCAUUUACAAGAAGGCCAAGUACACCUUCUGCUCUGGGACGUCUCUUCCACAGCACCUGAAGGAGUUUCUGGGCCACUCCCAUCACAGCACGCUUCUGCUCUUCUCCUUCCCUCUCACUGAGGAGCCUGAAGUGUUUGACAAACUGAGUGUCGUCACAGAAGCCACCGAAGGCAGCAAGCAGACUCUCGCAGACAGCUGUGCCCUGGGGACCCUGUGUGAACCAGGACAUCAGGAGCUGGAGUCCAAGGAUAAAAGCCCCGAGCCUGCGCUUGGUGACCCCUUACUGCUCAGGUCGGCCUCAGAAGUGUGAUCAGAAAACUCCAAGCCUUGAGCUUCCUGAAGCUGGCCUGGUAGAGACAACCAGAGAGCCAGGACCAGAGACUCCAGCUGCAGAGUUCUCUGCUUGGGAGAACUGCUAUAUGAAGACUUUGAUAAGGAGGGCCGGAGGGUGCAGCCCCUCGGACUGACCAGGCACACAUGAGGCUUCCAGAAGAAGGUGUGGCCCAGAUUUGAGGUGGAUCUUCCCACUACAAAAGAUCUGGAUUACAGGUAUAGUAGCUCAAAGGAGGAUCAUCACAAAUCCACAUACAGAUCUCAGCUUAAGCUUCCUCGUGAGCCCGAAUGGAAGGCUGCUUCUCUCUGCUCCGUGGUCCAGGGACAGGAGUUCCCCACUGGUUUCUGCACAAGGAUUCUCCAGUACCCGGUAAAUGAGACAGACAGCACAGCAAGUCGGAGUCUCUGGUCAGCUGUGCUUCCAGGAGCAAAGGGGGCCCGCCUGUUGGAACCCCAGGAUUCCAAGCCAGCUGCAACUGGCAUGCCCUGGAAACAAAUACUAGGAAUUGUAUUUUCUAGAUGCCUUUUGAAAAACGCUGUAAGGUGUCUAUUUAAAGGCUCCAUUUCAACUGUCAUUUUUGCUGAGUUGUGGCAUGCAAAAGAUAAUGUUCUAGUAUGCAUGUUUCAAUUAUAAAUAUCAAUGAAUAUAUUGAAAACAUACUUUCAAAUACAUUAUCAAAGCCCCUUCCCUGUUAGAUCUAUGUAACUAAAAAUAUGUAAAAGCAACUUCUCUCAGCUCUGAAGUGGUGCAAAGAUGAGGGCUGAAUAUGGAGGCCUAAAAACUAAAGGUUUCUUUUUGUUGUUUUUGUUUGUUUGUUUGUUUGUUUGUUUUAUCUGUCAGAUGAAUGGUAAUGCCAGGAAGCCACUGUUCUCCUGUUUCUCUCUCUGCUUUCUGCACUCCUUGCUCUUCUAUUAGGAUUCAUGUUUUUCACAUUUAGUCCAAAAAGAAAUUUAUGUGAUAUCUGUUCUUUUUAAAAAUUGAGCUAAUUCUAGCCAGUCAGUGCUGGCAAUGCCCUUAAUCCCAGCACUUGGGAGGCAGAGGCAGGUAAAUCUCUGAGUUCAAAGCCACCCUGGUCUACAGAGAGAGUUCCAGGAAGUCAGGGCUACACAGAGAAGCCCUAUCUCAACUACUCCCCCCACAAAAAAUAAUUAUACUAAUCCCAGCACCAGGAAGGCUGAGACAAAAAGAUCACAAGUUCAAGGCUAGCUUGGGCUACAAAGCAAGAAAGACCCUGUCUCCAAAACAACAACAAAAAACUGAUCUGGGACUGGUGCCAGCAGGUCUCAGUACUGUGCAGCUCUGGUACUGACCCAUUUACCUCCUUCCAGGGACAUGGAGAGAAAAGGUCUGCCUCAAAAAAUGAUGCUAUUGUUGUCCUUAUGAAAAUAAACUUCUCCUUUUAAAUACAAAUCAGAACCCAAAGAUUACAAGAAAGAAGAGAGAGACAGCCCACAUUAAUAUAUAUAUACACAUAUAUAGAGAGAGAGACAGAGAGAGAGAGCCAUUGGCUUUCAAAGAAAUAGAUUAUUGAAACAGAAGAAAAUGUCAUGAAAACGAAUCUUAAAAUAUGUUAUAUUAGUGCAUAAAUAAAUGGGGAAAUCUACAUGCAUAUGCAUGUGUAUAAAAAUACAAGAGAAGUUUAAAAUUAAACACAUAAUUCUAGAUAUAAAAAAAGUUUUCAAUAAAUCACCUAGAAAUAAAAACUAAAGAGGACAAAAUAUGAGCCAUCAGUGGUCAAUCCAAGAAGUACAGUUUUUCUGUUAGGAAGAAUAGCAGAGUAAGAGUCAGGAGGCUUUAAUCUCAGCACUUAGGAGGUAGAGGCAGGUGGAUCUCUAUCAGGCUAGCCUAGUCUACAGAGCAAGUUCCAGGAUAGCCAGAACUAUACAGAGAAACCCUAUCUCAGAAAGAAAUAAUAAUAAAAUAAAAGUAAAAAAUAACAAAGUAAAGAAAGUUAAGAGGAACAAGAACUUAAAACAGUGCAACAAUUAGACUUCUGCUUGUGGCCAUGAUAUCAGGCCUGAUGCAUCCUCUUGUUUCAGCUGCUAAUACACUUUAGAAUGACCGGUGGGGAGCUAAGUUGAUUUCAGAUACCAGACAUGGCAAGUGUGACAGUGACUCUUGACAGGAGGAAAUAAAUUAUUUUUUAAAACUCCACAACUGUUCAUGCUAACUCCAGAGAAUGUCUAGCCUUGGCCCAGGGAAGAAGAAAAACCCAAGGUUGGGUUGGGGCUGAGGAAGAAUUGAAAGAGAGAGAUAGGAGGCCAUGAGGGUUAGAAAAACAGAGCACAGAACUAGAAGAGAAGAGAGCUACGUAGAGAGAGAGCUCUAGAGAGCUAGAAAGGGCCUUCAGAACCAUUCAGCUACAUGCAAAUCAAGCACUGAGUGGUCUAUCCCUAGGCCCAGACAGGGCUGAGCCUGGGCAGAGGGCUCAGAACUCACUGAUCUUUGGGUAAUGAAGAGAUGCUACCCCACUGCCACAGCAGGAUGGCUUACACUAAACCCUUCUCUAAUUCUACCCAACAAAGGGGAGUCUUCAAAUGGCUAAUCCUAUGUACACCUAAGCAUGCCCUAAAACAAAGCUCUAGCCUGUUUAUAGGAAUGCAAAAACUCCCAGCUCUCAACAAAGCAAAUAUUAUAAAGCUUGGGAGUCACUCAGUAAUUGCCAAGCAUUCUGAGAGUCAGAAAAUGAAGUGUAUUAUGAGAAGUUAUUAGAAUUACUAGCCUGGGACACGGGAAUAAUUAAUAAAGGCUGGAGAGACGGUUUAGUGGGUAGUCUACUUGCUAUGCAAACGUGAGGGCCAGAAUUCAAAUCCCCAGGACCUACAUAAAUGCUGGGCAGGUUGAGUGGCUUCCUGGAAUCCCAGCACUUGGUAAGGAGAGACGGAAUCCUUGUAGUAAGCUGGCUAGCUAGACUAGCCAGAACUGGUGCGCUCCAGGUUAAAUAAGAGACUCUGCCUCCACAAAUGGAGAUGGAUUGAGGAAGA